AAUUUUUCUAGUAUAAUUAGUACAUUUGACUUCCAAUCAAAAAGCUUGAAGAUAUCAAGAAAAAUA
rnacentral:tRNA from 1 species